GCAAACUUGGUCAUUUAGAGGAAGUAAAAGUCGUAACAAGGUUUCCGUAGGUGAACCUGCGGAAGGAUCAUUAAAAGGUAUGGCCGCGGGAGACGGCUCUAGUAGUCACUCCCGCGCCUUUAUACUUGCUCACACCGUGUUGCUGAAAUGUCUGUCGCUUCGGGCGGCGGCGAGUUGUGCUGGCGCACCUUUCCUCAGGUGUGCUCUCUCUACACCGCCGCCCGACAGCACACUCUGUUUCACGCCUUGAUUGCCUAGCGAGUACUGAUCGAAUCGUACCGCAUCAGGUACACAAACACAAUACAACUGCUAGCAACGGAUCACUUGGUUCCCGCAUCGAUGAAGAACGCAGC
rnacentral:misc_RNA from 1 species